AGCGAACGCUGGCGGCAUGCUUAACACAUGCAAGUCGCACGGGCGGGGGCAACUCCGUCAGUGGCGGACGGGUGAGUAACGCGUAGGUAUCUAUCCUUGGGUGGGGGAUAACGGUUGGAAACGACUGCUAAUACCGCAUGACAACUGAGGUUUAAAGGCGCGAGUCGCCUGAGGAGGAGCCUGCGUACGAUUAGCUAGUUGGUGGGGUAAAGGCCUACCAAGGCGACGAUCGUUAGCUGGUCUGAGAGGAUGAUCAGCCACAUUGGGACUGAGACACGGCCCAAACUCCUACGGGAGGCAGCAGUGGGGAAUAUUGGACAAUGGGCGAAAGCCUGAUCCAGCAAUGCCGCGUGUGUGAAGAAGGUCUUCGGAUUGUAAAGCACUUUCGACGGGGACGAUGAUGACGGUACCCGUAGAAGAAGCCCCGGCUAACUUCGUGCCAGCCGCCGCCGUAAU
rnacentral:rRNA from 1 species